GCCGGCCUAGCUCAAUUGGUAGAGCAACUGACUUGUAAUCAGUAUGCGUGAAGCUGGAAUCGCUAGUA
rnacentral:tRNA from 1 species